AAUGAAUGAAUAACACGACUUUGUUAAAUGAAUCUGUUUUUCUGUCAUGUCAGGCUGAAUAAUCCAGAUUAUUUCAUUUUAAACUAGUUUAGCAUAAAUCUGCUGUAGGUUUGGGUUGCAGUUCCACUCCUGUCCGCUAGAGGGUUUUGGUCCGGUUCUGCUCUGGUUCUGGUUUUGGUCCGGUUCUGCUCUGGUUCCUGUUCUGAGCAGUUUUCAGAGUUAAACUUUGGUUGGAUGUUAUAAGUCCAGAAGUUCCUGAUUUGCUGCCAAAGCAAAGAGACGAAACGAUCAGAACUGAGACCUUCAGCCUGGAACAACAUUUACUCUCGUCUUUAACAUCAAAGGUCGUUUCCAGACUUUAUUUUCUCAGGUAAACAAGUUUAUGAAAGAAACAUCCAGGAAGUUCCUGGUUGCUCAGCUUCCUGUCCUCAGCUAUACAGGAAGUGGUCCUGAUGGCGGGGAGCGACCACUUCCUGUUCACC